AGUCCCAUUGACUGCCUGGGCUCUGGCAGCCAGCGUCUGAAACCACCCACCAAGAUGAUGUUCCCGUCUGCGAGCUGCACUUUGAUGGACAUGCCUGUGCUGAGCACAGAAGGCUUGCAUUUUCCUCGAGACAGUUGGAGAGACAGGAAGUGGGAGGCACUGGGAGGCAGAAGGAGGAUCCCAAGCCAGGGCCAGCAGGAGAGCCUGGAGCAUGCCAGGAAGCCUGCAGUAGAUGCUCAAAUGACCAGCGAAGGACAAGGGGAGCUUGUUUAAGACCCGAGUCCUUGGCAUUUCGUUCCGAGUGAGGCAAGACUUCAGUCAACUCAGCUGACAAGGGUGGGGAGGCACUGAGGCUGGGAGGUGGCCCGGGAUCCGAAGCAGUGAUGUGUGACUCCAUGGCUGUACCUCACACAGGGAGGGAGUCACAUUACAAAUUCCAGAAAGGCUGGGAGUUCUCAGAAUAGUCUUCUAGGCUCUCUGCAGGCGAUACUGCUAACUGUCCCCAGGCUGUGUCUCCAUUUUGCCCCGUGUUUUUGGAUCCAUUCUUGAGACCCUUCUGGGCAUGACUGGGGUCCACAGGGAUGCCAACAGUAGUGAGGGAGUAUACGGUACAGGAGUGAACAAUAUCCUAAGAUCUCCCGUGACUCCUGGAUUGACUCCACCAGUUCCUGGAGCUCCUUUGACCCUCUUUAUCCUCCUGGAUAGAAUCAAGAAGAUCUGGCUUCAUUCACCACAGAAGUUACAGAACAGGAAGCCACCGAAAGCAGGAGGUGACCCACAGCAGUCACCCAACAAUUGCUGCAAAUACUUUACUGCCAAUGGGUCAGCCAUAGGGUCUCUUGGCUCCUCCCUGGAGUCCAGAAAGUGUGGCUAACACUGUUCUUUGGUGCUUGUCUUGAGUGCAUGUGCCUUUGUCUCCCUACUAGGUGACAACCCAAAGCUACCCCCCUAAGUCCCCCAGAUGCUGGGCUGAAUCACAGGCUGAUACAGAAGUGCUUAGAAGACGCAGAUGAGUGGCUACUGAUCCACUAAGAAGCUGGCUUCUGGCAAGUCAUUCUGAAGUGAUCCCUGGACCAGCUUGACUCCUGACCUUAUUCAGAUAAGAAGAAGGUCCAGACAGCCUCUCCUCUGGCUUGUUUCACAUCUCCUGCUUUCCUGUGUCUCCAAACCAAGUGGUCAGGACGGCCCGUUGUCUUGAUGCAGAGAAUGGCUCAUCAGGCAACUCUUUGCCUCUGACACUUGGAUUCAGACCUAUUCUCAGAGAGGCUCCGGGAAACCCUGUGGUGCCAACACAGAAGCCCAUCAGAGUGUUUGCUUUGCUGCUUAGAGCUGACCUGAGAAAGAAGAACCCUAAUCCUGGUGGCACAGCCAAGAGAUCCUGUGUGCACAGAAUGGGGUAAGCACACCCCAAUAUGGCGGUCAAGGCUGAGCUGUGGGCUCUAGAUCCUCGUUCCUUGCUCCCAAGGCUUUGAAAUGUCAAGCGUGUACUGAUUGGACUUGCUCAGAGGGGAAGCAGGAGCCCAGACUCACUGUGGAAAUGAGUUACCCAUGCCGGUGAAGUCUGAAGCCGAGUCCUCCAAGCCUGGGAGGUAGCAGCCAUUGUGUGGAGUGGGAGAAUGGAUAAGUCUCUGCAUGCCAAGAAGAGAUGGCUCUUCCCAGGCCCAGAGCAAGAGGUACUGGCCUGGAAAUGGCCACUGCUGGAGAGGGCCAUGUCCUUGUCUGUAGGGAGGAUCAGAAAAUCAGUUGCCUCAAGGAGUAGCCAAAGGGAGAGGACAUGGGACCAGCCUGGAGGCAGCAGUUUCUCCACAACUAGUGUACGUGUGAGCACUUAGAACUUGUGGCUAUAAGAGUAUGGAAGGCAGAAUAAUGGCCACCAAGAAUAUCCACAUUCCCACCCUGGAACCCACGGGGAUGUCACCUUAGGCUACAAGGGAUACUCUGCAGACAGGAUUCAGUGAAGUCCCUGGGAUGGGGAGGUGACCAGACUGUCCAGGCUGGCCACCUGAAUCUCAUAUGCCACUAAAAUCAGAGACCCUUUCCCAUUGGCUGUCUGAAGAACGUGUGACAACUGAAGCUUGGGUUUGGCCAGCUACACCUCCAGAGCAGGUUCCAGUUUCCCACUGUGUUUGCCUACACUCAGGCCUCAGCUUCCUCCAGGAUCGCCCGCACUUCUCCCUCUCCUGCUGCUGUGCACCAGGAAGAGCUGUCUGCACCCAGGGCUCCAUCCGUGCUCUUCUCUGCCUGCGAUUUGCUGUCUUCAUUCAGCCGGCCUCCGUGGCCUGAAAUGCUCUCCCCAGUCUAUAAAUCCUCAAGAUGGGCCUCUGUGUACCAGUCAUUGCCACCUGAUCCCAGACUAAAACUUCUCCAUGGGGUCUCGCUGUCUGAGAGUUUCCUGGAAUGUCAAGACCCUACUUGAUCCUGCCAUCUGCUUGUUGCUCCGUCUGUCUGGCAUCCCUGGGUUCAUGCGAACUCCUUCUAAGAGUGGAGUGAGUCUAGUGUAUCAUUCAUAAACAAACAUACUGCAUAUUUCCUGGAGAAAGUCUGUGAGGACACUGUAACAACUUUCCUGAGACUCUGUGACUUAAACAACCCGUACUUAGUGUUCUGAGAGUUAGAAAGACUGUAACCUGAGUACUGAGAUGGUAAGAUGGUUGGGUGCUGGCAAGGACUACCUCUUGCCUUGCAAUGGUGGUUUUCUUGCUAUGUUCUCCAAGCAGAGAGUGAGCAAGCUUCCCUGUGUCUGAGGAGGGCAUCUGUCCCACUCACGACUACCUUCUAAGUCCUUCCUCUUAAAACUACACACUGUGGGGUAGAAUUCCAACAUCUGAGCUUGAAGGGCAGGCAUCAGAAGGCCUCCAUAACAGAGGGCAAGCUCAGGGGGCACAUGGAAAGAGGCAGGGUUAUGGGGGUGUCUGAGACCUUCACUUUUUAUUCCAGUGUCUGCUUUCUACAAUGCUUAAACAUUUUCCGAUCACGUAACGAAUCUCUGUGCAUACUUGAGUCUGUAGUAGCCAAGUUUAGCCAGAAUCUUUAAAUCCGACUGCUGACAUUUACUAAGUAAGCACUUGGACCUUAACAAUAAUCCCAGGAGGCAAGAAGAAUGCCAGAAGCUUCUAUACAGCUCAGCUAUUGCAGCAAGAAAUGAAUCCGAAUGCAACACAGGAAACGGCAGACCUCACACACGUCAGCUGGUGAAACGGCUGCACGUGAACGCUCCUUCCUGGUCGCCUGGCUCUAAAGCUAGUAUCAUUAAUUCUCGCUCUCCUGUUACAGACCACAAAAGUGUGGCUUCCAGAAGAUGUGACCUUAAGCUCUUGUAGCUAGGGAACCAUGGUGUCAGCUUCUGCCUGUGCGCCCCCUCACUCCCAGUAGAAGGAAGUGUCCCGCGUCACCAAAGGUGAUGGAGCUCAUCCUAGGCCACAGGAACUAUGGUGCUGUUUCCAAUUUCCCCCACAUAAAAGCCUUCUAGUCUGCAUGGUUGGUCUAGAAUGCAUUCACUUUGCUCAUUAUGGCCUGAAUUGUGCCCCAUCCUCUUGGAAUUUGUAUGUUAAAUCCCUCAGACCUCAGGAGGGGGCUGCAUUAGCAGAUAAAGUCUGAAAAUAGCUCAUGAAGCUCACAGUUCUUUUUUUUUUUCUCACAGUUUUUUUAGUCCAAUAUAACUUACAUCCCUAAAUAAAAAAGAGAACCUGGACACAUAGAGGAAAGACAGAAUCAGUGAAGCCAGCCAUUUCGAGGCAAGAGAAGAAGCCUCAGAAGAGAAGGCUGCUAACACCGUUAGCUUGGAAUUCAGAACUCCAAGACAGCAAUCCUCCAAAGUGCAAGCCCCUUGAUCCAUGGCAUAUUAUCAUACAGUUUGUAAAGCUGAUAUUUUACUUACUUUUUCCUUGUCUUUGAGACAAGGCCUCACUAAGUAGCCUAAGUUGUGCUCAAACUGAUAAUCCUCCUGCCUCAACCUCUGGACUGCCAAUGUUGUAACUAUAUACAACCAUGCCUAGCUUACAUUGCCCUGGUCUUUUUUUAUUUUUUUUUCUGAUUAUGUUUUAUUUAUGUCUGUUUGAGUGUUGUUUUGGAGACAGGGUCUUACUCCAUAGCCCUGGUUGGUCUGGAUUUGAUUGUUCCAAAGGUAAUCAAUAGCUAUGUGGACCAGUCAGGCCUCAAACUUGUGGCCCUCCUCCUACUUCAAGUUUCCAGGUUCUGGGAUUACAGGCAUGUGCCAUCAUUCCGUGCCGCCUAUUCUUUUUUUUUCUCAGAUUGUAGGUUUUUAUUUCAUAUAAAGUCACACAACUGAAUAUGGGAGUUGAAAAUAAUGGGCAAUUACAAAUUUUUCCUAAACAUACAAUAGCCAAAUACUAGUACCAGAUCAAAUGUGUAGCGAAUCACAGGCUCUCCGAUGAUGCUUCCCUGUCAUACAGCUUCCUGCAGCCUUGGCUCCGAACACGUGAUGUGUCUGAGUUUUCCCUGCGCAUGCCACCUUCGUGCCGCCUAUUCUUAUAAAGAAAUCCAUAUGCUUCUGCUGGAGUGUUAACAAGAACUAAAGAAGGACAAAGACAAUUCUAAAUGCUGGGAUGGUGCGGAACUUCUGGAACUUGUUCACCUUCCCGGUAGGAAGGAACACCAUGACAGCCACUCCAGAAAAACACAUUUGGAAGUUUGUCGUGUAGUGAUAUGUAGCUGAUUGAGGCCUCCUCAACCGUACUGAGAUGUUUAAAUGAAACAUGUCCACUCAAAAACAGUCACAACUUUAUUCAAAAGACCUGAAAGGAAUCCAGAUCUCCUUCAGCCAGUGAGAAUCUGGGUACUAAAGUGGGGACAACAGCAAUUUUGACAACUAGCAGUAAAGUGGAGCCAUUCUGACCCAUGCAGCAGCCCGGCUGGAUCUUAGAUGUGUGGCACUAAGCAGAAGAAAUCGGUCUUAGUGGGUCAUCACCUGCAUCCGUCCACUUACUGGGCACGCUGGAAAAGGUGAAAUCCUCGGAAUAGAUCGGUGUUUGCAGGGGGCAAGCUUGGCAUCAGGCGGAAGCUUGAGGGAACAAGACAGGCAGAGCUGUACGGCUGCUCUGGGUUUUGAGGGCACUCUGGUCAUACCAAUGAGUGCCUAGAACCAGACCACAAAGAGUGGAUUUAACUCUGUGGGAAAUAAGACAAUUUCAAAAACAAACCACAAGCCAGUGGUGACCUGCUGAGCUGUGGAAAGGUCCUCCCAGCCCCUCCCUCUAACAGUCUGCCCGGCUGUCCUCUGCAUUAUCCGCCAUCGUUCCGUCAGGAGGACACAGA